AUUCCAGCUCCAAUAGCGUAUAUUAAAGUUGUUGCGGUUAAAAAGCUCGUAGUUGGAUUUCUGUUGAGGACGACCGGUCCGCCCUCUGGGUGAGUAUCUGGCUCGGCCUUGGCAUCUUCUUGGAGAACGUAACUGCACUUGACUGUGUGGUGCGGUAUCCAGGACUUUUACUUUGAGGAAAUUAGAGUGUUUCAAGCAGGCGUACGCCUUGAAUACAUUAGCAUGGAAUAAUGAGAUAGGACCUUGGUUCUAUUUUGUUGGUUUCUAGAGCUGAGGUAAUGAUUAAUAGGGAUAGUUGGGGGCAUUCGUAUUUAAUUGUCAGAGGUGAAAUUCUUGGAUUUAUUAAAGACGGACUACUGCGAAAGCAUUUGCCAAGGAUGUUUUCAUUA
rnacentral:rRNA from 1 species